rnacentral:rRNA from 1 species
UACGGAGGGGGCUAGCGUUGUUCGGAAUUACUGGGCGUAAAGCGCGCGUAGGCGGACCUGCAAGUCGGGGGUGAAAGCCCGAGGCUCAACCUCGGAACUGCCUUCGAUACUGCGGGUCUCGAGUCCGGGAGAGGUGAGUGGAAUUCCUAGUGUAGAGGUGAAAUUCGUAGAUAUUAGGAAGAACACCAGUGGCGAAGGCGGCUCACUGGCUCGGUACUGACGCUGAGGAGCGAAAGUGUGGGGAGCGAACAGG